rnacentral:lncRNA from 1 species
CAAUAUUAUGUUCCUAAGAACUGUGAAUACCUACACCCCUAUAACCAAUUUUCUUAUGUACAAAAAAAGAUUCCUAAACGAUCCGAAGACUGAAAAGCAUUCAAACCAUAACCCUAACUAACCUCAUCGGAGGAUGCGAGAUUUCAGACUUUGGGAAAGUGAAGAUCAUAGAAAGCUAGCGAAAGAAUAAUACUGACAUAUAUCCAACCGGCAAAGCAAGGCAAGAGUAGUGAUAUAGUUUGCAAGGUAUUGGGUGUAAGUGUCUACUCCUUGAGUUCACAGCAGCCCUAACCCAUGUUGAAGACGAUCUAUUACCUUUCCAAUAUGGAAGAGGUCAUUAAGUUAAGUCAAAGCAAAUAAUAAUUUCCUUAAACUAAAUAACACAACUUGAUACGUGAAGGACCCCCUUUAACAACAAAAAUGAAGAGAAUUUCUGCCUUUAAAUAUUGAUAAGGAAGGGAAAAGGGUUUUUAUUCCUCCAAUGGCAACCCUAUUGUUUAUUUGAACAAAUUCAGAACAAAGCAAGUUGUAACAUCCAGUAGUUUGAUAUGCAUCCGUCUGUUGCAGUACCAUGUUUGUUAUUCCUUAAAUAUGUAGCAAAACAUCCGAUCUCAAACAACCAAAAUGCACAUAUAUAGUAAUACUACUUACAGUCCGAUAAGUGGAAAAGCUCGGAUAGUUUUCUCCAUACAACUCAUGGCUGACCUGCAACAUUUAAAACAGGUUAAUUGGAAUAUAGUUAGCUUAAGGAAUAAUGAAAGCAAUGAAACCUGGAAAUAGGAAUUAUUUUUAUUCUUGCCUGCCAGCCAGCUUCCAUGGUGUUCAGAUUCCCAAACUAAGUCACAGAGCAUGUAUACUUGAAUACAGAAACAUCACAGAGCAUGACAGAACCAUAACUUGAUAAAAAAAAGCAAGGCAAAUGUUCAAAAUCGUACAUCAAACAGUUCAGGUGAGCAGCAAAGUUUAUGUAAUAAAAACGACCAGAACACCAUAGAAGUUCAAGCAUAGUACCAAUAAAUAGUUUUAAUAGAAAAGUAUAAUAACAGAAGAAACUGAAGACAGAGAAGCAUAAACCAAACCAAACCAAAGCAAGCGAUAACCACCCUUCAAGAGGGAGAAACAAACAUCGGCAACAACCCAGCCAGAGAAAUACAAAGGAAGGAGAUCUAACCUUAGCAUCGGUCCAAAGUCAAGUGUGCCGAAGGCAGAAAAUUGACCGUCGGAUCCCCUGAGCUUCCAGGUGUGCACCUACUGUAGACGAAGGCAAGGAGGGAGGCUUUCAGGGGAUAAAUUGCAAAAAAGCAGAGAAUCAAGACACGCAGUAGAGAUAGGAACUGAGAAGCAGAGGCCGAUGUCUAGUCUGUAGCGCAAUCCCAUGUCCGCCCCUCAAAAAGCCUUGGGCUCUUCCUUCAUCUUCCUCCUAUUCGGCGCCGUCAUCGACCUAAUCAUCGACGGCUGCGGUGGAGGAACUUCCAAGUUGUUACAGUUUCAAAUCGGUGGCAUUAUCGUGGUGGGCACACUAUUAGACAACUGUAGAACACUAGGAUGAGAUGGAGCAGAAGAAGCUGAAGAUCCGGGAGAGGAAGACAUAGCAAGUGGCUGGCCGAGUUAACAGAUGAGAGAGAUAGGAGGUUGGAAGAGCUUUUUAGUGCACCCCUUAAUGAACAGCUUUUUAUAUAUGAAUGAACACAGUUCUGGCGAUUCACGAUAGUAUUU